rnacentral:rRNA from 1 species
UACGAAGGGGGCUAGCGUUGCUCGGAAUCACUGGGCGUAAAGGGUGCGUAGGCGGGUCUUUAAGUCAGGGGUGAAAUCCUGGAGCUCAACUCCAGAACUGCCUUUGAUACUGAAGAUCUUGAGUUCGGGAGAGGUGAGUGGAACUGCGAGUGUAGAGGUGAAAUUCGUAGAUAUUCGCAAGAACACCAGUGGCGAAGGCAGCUCACUGGCCCGAUACUGACGCUGAUGCACGAAAGCGUGGGGAGCAAACAGG